AAAAAAGGUAAGCUACUAAGAGCGAAUGGUGGAUGCCUUGACUGGUAAAGGCGAUGAAGGACGUACUAGACUGCGAUAAGCUACGGGGAGCUGUCAAGAAGCUUUGAUCCGUAGAUUUCCGAAUGGGGCAACCCAAUGUAUAGAGAUAUACAUUACCUAUAUAGGAGCGAACGAGGGGAAUUGAAACAUCUUAGUACCCUCAGGAAAAGAAAUCAAUAGAGAUUGCGUCAGUAGCGGCGAGCGAAAGCGCAAGAGGGCAAACCCAGUGCUUGCACUGGGGGUUGUAGGACUGCAAUGUGCAAGAGGUAAGUUUAGCAGAACAUUCUGGAAAGUAUAACCAUAGAGGGUGAUAGUCCCGUAUGCGAAAAACAAACCUUAGCUAGCAGUAUCCUGAGUAGGGCGGGACACGAGGAAUCCUGUCUGAAUCCGGGUCGACCACGAUCCAACCCUAAAUACUAAUACCAGAUCGAUAGUGCACAAGUACCGUGAGGGAAAGGUGAAAAGAACUGAGGUGAUCAGAGUGAAAUAGAACCUGAAACCAUUUGCUUACAAUCAUUCAGAGCACUAUGUAGCAAUACAGUGUGAUGGACUGCCUUUUGCAUAAUGAGCCUGCGAGUUGUGGUGUCUGGCAAGGUUAAGCAAACGCGAAGCCGUAGCGAAAGCGAGUCUGAAUAGGGCGCUUAGUCAGAUGCUGCAGACCCGAAACGAAGUGAUCUAUCCAUGAGCAAGUUGAAGCUAGUGUAAGAACUAGUGGAGGACUGAACCCAUAGGCGUUGAAAAGCCCCGGGAUGACUUGUGGAUAGGGGUGAAAGGCCAAUCAAACUUCGUGAUAGCUGGUUCUCUCCGAAAUAUAUUUAGGUAUAGCGUUGUGUCGUAAUAUAAGGGGGUAGAGCACUGAAUGGGCUAGGGCAUACACCAAUGUACCAAACCCUAUCAAACUCCGAAUACCUUAUAUGUAAUCACAGCAGUCAGGCGGCGAGUGAUAAAAUCCGUCGUCAAGAGGGAAACAACCCAGACUACCAGCUAAGGUCCCUAAAUCUUACUUAAGUGGAAAACGAUGUGAAGUUACUUAAACAACCAGGAGGUUGGCUUAGAAGCAGCCAUCCUUUAAAGAAAGCGUAAUAGCUCACUGGUCUAGUGAUUUUGCGCGGAAAAUAUAACGGGGCUAAAGUAAGUACCGAAGCUGUAGACUUGCACACAACUUAGAUUAUUUAAGUUUAGAAUAUGAGAAACUAAGUUAUAUGUUUAGUUAUAUUUUUACUGAUUUUUAUAGAGUAAAGAUAGAAAUAAAACUUAGUAAAAUCAGUAAAAAUAUUCUUAGACUAAAGUUAAGUAGUUUAAGUUGUGUGCAAGUGGUAGGAGAGCGUUCUAUUUGCGUCGAAGGUAUACCGGUAAGGAGUGCUGGAGCGAAUAGAAGUGAGCAUGCAGGCAUGAGUAGCGAUAAUUAAUGUGAGAAUCAUUAACGCCGUAAACCCAAGGUUUCCUACGCGAUGCUCGUCAUCGUAGGGUUAGUCGGGUCCUAAGUCGAGUCCGAAAGGGGUAGACGAUGGCAAAUUGGUUAAUAUUCCAAUACCAACAUUAGUGUGCGAUGGAAGGACGCUUAGGGCUAAGGGGGCUAGCGGAUGGAAGUGCUAGUCUAAGGUCGUAGGAGGUUGUACAGGCAAAUCCGUAUAACAAUACUCCGAGAACUGAAAGGCUUUUUGAAGUCUUCGGAUGGAUAGAAGAACCCCUGAUGCCGUCGAGCCAAGAAAAGUUUCUAAGUUUAGCUAAUGUUGCCCGUACCGUAAACCGACACAGGUGGGUGGGAUGAGUAUUCUAAGGCGCGUGGAAGAACUCUCUUUAAGGAACUCUGCAAAAUAGCACCGUAUCUUCGGUAUAAGGUGUGGUUAGCUUUGUAUUAGGAUUUACUCCGAAAGCAAGGAAACUUACAACAAAGAGUCCCUCCCGACUGUUUACCAAAAACACAGCACUCUGCUAACUCGUAAGAGGAUGUAUAGGGUGUGACGCCUGCCCGGUGCUCGAAGGUUAAUUGAUGGGGUUAGCAUUAGCGAAGCUCUUGAUCGAAGCCCGAGUAAACGGCGGCCGUAACUAUAACGGUCCUAAGGUAGCGAAAUUCCUUGUCGGUUAAAUACCGACCUGCAUGAAUGGCGUAACGAGAUGGGAGCUGUCUCAAAGAGGGAUCCAGUGAAAUUGUAGUGGAGGUGAAAAUUCCUCCUACCCGCGGCAAGACGGAAAGACCCCGUGGACCUUUACUACAGCUUGACACUGCUACUUGGAUAAGAAUGUGCAGGAUAGGUGGGAGGCUUUGAGUAUAUGACGCCAGUUGUAUAUGAGCCAUUGUUGAGAUACCACUCUUUCUUAUUUGGGUAGCUAACCAGCUUGAGUUAUCCUCAAGUGGGACAAUGUCUGGUGGGUAGUUUGACUGGGGCGGUCGCCUCCCAAAUAAUAACGGAGGCUUACAAAGGUUGGCUCAGAACGGUUGGAAAUCGUUCGUAGAGUAUAAAGGUAUAAGCCAGCUUAACUGCAAGACAUACAAGUCAAGCAGAGACGAAAGUCGGUCUUAGUGAUCCGGUGGUUCUGUGUGGAAGGGCCAUCGCUCAAAGGAUAAAAGGUACCCCGGGGAUAACAGGCUGAUCUCCCCCAAGAGCUCACAUCGACGGGGAGGUUUGGCACCUCGAUGUCGGCUCAUCGCAUCCUGGGGCUGGAGCAGGUCCCAAGGGUAUGGCUGUUCGCCAUUUAAAGCGGUACGCGAGCUGGGUUCAGAACGUCGUGAGACAGUUCGGUCCCUAUCUGCCGUGGGCGUAAGAAGAUUGAAGAGAUUUGACCCUAGUACGAGAGGACCGGGUUGAACAAACCACUGGUGUAGCUGUUGUUCUGCCAAGAGCAUCGCAGCGUAGCUAAGUUUGGAAAGGAUAAACGCUGAAAGCAUCUAAGCGUGAAGCCAACUCUAAGAUGAAUCUUCUCUAAGCUCUCUAGAAGACUACUAGUUUGAUAGGCUGGGUGUGUAAUGGAUGAAAGUCCUUUAGCUGACCAGUACUAAUAGAGCGUUUGGCUUAUCUUUAAUAAAGCAU
rnacentral:rRNA from 1 species